GCCUACGGGGGGCAGCAGUGAGGAAUAUUGGUCAAUGGGAGAGAUCCUGAACCAGCCAAGUCGCGUGAGGGAGUACUGCCCUAUGGGUUGUAAACCUCUUUUGUCGGGGAGCAAAAGCCGGACGUGUCCGGCUGUGAGAGUACCCGAAGAAAAAGCAUCGGCUAACUCCGUGCCAGCAGCCGCGGUAAUACGGAGGAUGCGAGCGUUAUCCGGCUUUAUUGGGUUUAAAGAGUGCGCAGGCGGAUUUUUAAGUCAGCGGUCAAAUCGUGGGGCUCAACCCCAUCCACCAGUUGAAGCUGGGGAUC
rnacentral:rRNA from 1 species